rnacentral:rRNA from 1 species
GAUGAACGCUGGCGACGUGCCUAAUACAUGCAAGUCGAGCGAACGGACGAGAAGCUCUCUUCUCUGAUGUUAGCGGCCGACGGGCGAGUAACUAGUGGAUAACCUACCUAUCUGACUGUGAUAAAUUCGGGAACCCGUAGCUAAUACCUGAUACUUUUUUGAACCGCAUGGUUCCAAAGUGCAAGACGAUCUUUCUGUCACUUAUAGAUGGAUCCGCGCUGCAUUAGCUAGUUGGUAAGGUAACGGCUUACCAAGGCAACGAUGCAUAGCCGACCUGAGAGGGGAAGCGGCCACACUAGAAUUGAGACACGGUCCGGACUCCAAUGGUAGGCAGCGGUAGAGAAUCUACCGCAAGGGGCGAAGGCCUGACGGAGCAACGCCGCGUGAGUGAUGAAGGGCCUCGGAUCGGAGAACUCUGUUAUUAGGGAAGAACAUUUGUGUAAGUAACGUGUCACAUCUUGAAGGUACCGAAUCAGAAAGGCACGGCUAACUACGUG